CAAUUUUCCUUGCAGUGAUUGUCGCUAGCUUCUGUUCUUCGGAAAGACACUCGCGCUAACGGACUUUUUUGAUCGGAAGUAUCAGUUCGGGGAAUUCGGUAUAGCGAGCGACGGUUUUUUGUUUACGCGGGAGGCGCGGGCUCGCUGCAGUUCGCGGAAUUGAUGAAGUAUGGGUUGAUACGAGACUUCGAGUUUUUAGAAUUUAAUGAUUUUUAUAAUGUGAGGAAUUUUGUUGGCUGUUUUCGUGCAUUCUCUGCAAAGCCGGAAUCGGAAGGUUGCCUAUAUAUGAGGAUUUCAACGUUUUUCGGCGAGAACGAGCGUAGGAGAGUUCAUGGCAGCGAGCGAAGCGACGCUCCGAGUCCCGGCGGAAAAUCCCAAAGCCCUCCGAGCGAGCGGUGGCGGCAGCGUUCUAACCUACCUGAACCCGCAGGGGCGCAGGGAGGGAGGGACGCCGUCGGCCGAGAGCGUAGGUCUGUGAGAGGGCCAGACGUGAGGAAAGAGGCAGACUGACUCGGACAGCCGACAAGCAACGACGAAUGCGACCUACAGUGUAAAACCCUAGACAACUAAGCAUUCUUUCAAUAUACGAACUACAAACUA